GAUGGCCUUGCGGCCCAUUAGCUAGUUGGCGGGGUAACGGCCCACCAAGGCGAUGAUGGGUAGCCGGUCUGAGAGGGCGAUCGGCCACAUUGGGACUGAGAUACGGCCCAGACUCCUACGGGAGGCAGCAGUAGGGAAUUUUGCGCAAUGGACGAAAGUCUGACGCAGCAACGCCGCGUGAGUGAUGAAGGUCUUCGGAUUGUAAAGCUCUGUUGAGUGGGAAGAACCUUUUGAGGUAUAAUACACCUCGAAACUGACGGUACCAUUCGAGUAAGCACCGGCUAACUACGUGCCAGCAGCCGCGGUAAUACGUAGGGUGCAAGCGUUGUUCGGAUUUACUGGGCGUAAAGGGAGCGUAGGCGGAAUGGUAAGUUGGGAGUGAAAUCCAUGGGCACAACCCGUGGGUUGCUUCCAAUACUGCUUUUCUUGAGUAUGGAAGAGGACGAUGGAACUCCAGGUGUAGCGGUGGAAUGCGUAGAUAUCUGGAAGAACACCAGUUGCGAAGGCGGUCGUCUGGUCCAAUACUGACGCUGAGGCUCGAAAGCUAGGGGAGCAAACAGGAUUAGAU
rnacentral:rRNA from 1 species